UACAGAGGGGGCAAGCGUUGCUCGGAAUUACUGGGCGUAAAGGGCGCGUAGGCGGCCUGCUAAGUCGAACGUGAAAUCCCUGGGCUCAACCCAGGAACUGCGUCCGAUACUGGUUGGCUUGAAUCCGGGAGAGGGAUGUGGAAUUCCAGGUGUAGCGGUGAAAUGCGUAGACAUCUGGAGGAACACCGGUGGCGAAGGCGGCAUCCUGGACCGAGAUUGACGCUGAGGCGCGAAAGCCAGGGGAGCAAACGGG
rnacentral:rRNA from 1 species